UCUCCACCUUUCUUGGCCCCAUGUGCU
rnacentral:piRNA from 1 species